rfam:Oryza nivara chromosome 10, whole genome shotgun sequence.
AAUAAGUGCAGUUUUGCACUAUUCAUUUCCAAAGUUUGACCGUUCGUCUUAUUUGAAAAAUUUUUAUGAUUACUAUUUUUGUUGUUAUUAGAUGAUAAAACAUGAAUAGUAAUUUAUGUGUGACUAAUUUUUUUAAAAUUUUUUAUAAAUUUUUCAAAUAAGACGGAUGGUCAAACGUUGAACACGGAUUUCCACAGCUGCACUUAUU